rnacentral:lncRNA from 1 species
UUCAAUCCAAAAAAUACCUUAACUCAAUCAACAUAAUUAGUUUUCCUAACUAUCAUUAACAGGCGAUCGACAUCGAUUGAUACUUCCAAAGCUAUAACUAACUUAACAAUUCCUUAACACAUCAUUAACCAUUCAUCAUAACUCCACUAACUGACAAUUCAAUAACCAAUUAACCAACUUUCAUAUAGCCUACUAAAUCAAGGAAAUCUCUUACCAAACAAAUUGAUUCAACUAAUUCAAGCUUAACUAACUUUUUAACUAAUGCUAUAACAAUCCUAGCCUAAUUCAUUAUAACAUCAGUGGAAACAAAUUCCUAACAAAACUAA